UGUUAUCGUCACGACGCCAGUCAACCCACGAAGUGGGUCAGGGAACCCGGUGCGAUUCCGGGGCUGACGCGCAGCGGUGAGGGGGACGGCCGCGGCACUGGCCACUGGACCGAUGGGUCUGGGAAGGCGCCGCGGCCGGACGAACCCGAGUCCGAAGACCUGCUGGCGACCGGCGUCCGCC
rnacentral:ncRNA from 1 species